GCAGCAGUAGUAUAACUGGUUAGUAUUUCGGCUUCCCAAGUCGAACACCCGGGUUCAAAUCCCGGCUGCUGCA
rnacentral:tRNA from 1 species